rnacentral:rRNA from 1 species
ACAGAGGGUGCAAGCGUUGUUCGGAAUUAUUGGGCGUAAAGCGCACGUAGGCGGUCACGCAAGUCGGGUGUGAAAUCCCGGGGCUCAACCCCGGACGUGCACUCGAAACUGCAUGACUUGAGUUCCGGAGAGGGUGGUGGAAUUCCUGGUGUAGAGGUGAAAUUCGUAGAUAUCAGGAGGAACACCGGUGGCGAAGGCGACCACCUGGACGGCGACUGACGCUGAGGUGCGAAAGCGUGGGGAGCAAACA